rnacentral:tRNA from 1 species
GCCCUUAUGGCCAAGUGGUUAAGGCAUCGCACUUGGUAGGUUUUCAAUCAGUUCCACUUUCCGAGCUCAACUAACAAUUCUCAGUAAUGCGGGGAUCCCUCGUUCAAAUCGGGGUGAGGGCA